UAGCCGUAAACGAUACUCGCUAGGUGUCGGCCACGGUGCGACCGUUGUCGGUGCCGUAGGGAAGCCGUGAAGCGAGCCACCUGGGAAGUACGGCCGCAAGGCUGAAACUUAAAGGAAUUGGCGGGGGAGGCACCACAACGGGUGGAGCUUGCGGUUUAAUUUGGAUUCAACGCCGGACAACUCACCAGGAGCGACGGUUACAUGAAGGCCAGGCUGAUGACCUUGCCUGAUUUUCCGUAGAGGUGGUGCAUGGCGUAGUCGUGU
rnacentral:rRNA from 1 species